UUCACUAGUACAAUAGUGAGUGCUGUGUUAGUCUGGGAGGACAGAGCUGAAUCAAGUGUGGCCUUGUCCUCAAGACUCACUUCAACAUCCAGGAGCGAGUCCUGGGUGUCAGGGACUGAGCUGGCUGGUGGGAGAUCUGGAGCCGGGUUGGGAGAGGCCUUAUUAGCAUCCUCCUCAACCUACCGGAUGUUCUCUAUAUGGAGGAAGGACUCACCCACACUCUUGCCAAGCUCACCGAGGUCCUACUUCUGGAGGGGGCUUCGCUUUUGCUCCUGUUUACCCACUGAAGGCUGACACCAGUCCUAGAUCAUCCUGUCAAAAACCUCAAGUUUUCAGGAGAGUUCCCAUGCAGGGCUUUGGGAACCGCUCUGCGGGUAUCCUGGUUUUUUAACAAGCGAUUCACACCUACCACCCCAGCCAGUCUUCACUAUUCCCUAAUCUGCCUCAGUUGCACUGUAUAUAAAGCAACAAUAAUAACAAAAU